rnacentral:rRNA from 1 species
UACGUAGGGACCAAGCGUUGUUCGGAUUCAUUGGGCGUAAAGGGUGCGUAGGCGGCGCGGUAAGUCGGGUGUGAAAUCUUGGAGCUUAACUCCGAAACUGCAUUCGAUACUGCCGUGCUUGAGGACUGGAGAGGAGACUGGAAUUUACGGUGUAGCGGUGAAAUGCGUAGAUAUCGUAAGGAAGACCAGUGGCGAAGGCGGGUCUCUGGACAGUUCCUGACGCUGAGGCACGAAGGCCAGGGGAGCAAACGGG